rnacentral:rRNA from 1 species
UACGUAGGGGGCGAGCGUUAUCCGGAAUUACUGGGCGUAAAGCGCACGCAGGCGGUUCGCCAAGUUUGGGGUGACAGUUGGCGGCUCAACCGACAAAGGACUUCAAAAACUGGUGAACUUGAGGACGAGAGAGGAACAUGGAACUCCAGGUGUAGUAGUGAAAUGCGUAGAUAUCUGGAAGAACACCAAUGGCGAAGGCAAUGUUCUGGCUCGUUUCUGACGCUCAGGUGCGAAAGCCAGGGGAGCGAACGGG